rnacentral:ncRNA from 1 species
AGACGAUGCUUAUGCAUCUCCUCAGCCCAAACGAAUCCUGGAUAUCAAUUGGAUUUAUAUCAUCCUUAUCAGUAACUCACG